rnacentral:rRNA from 1 species
AGGGAAUCUUCGGCAAUGGACGGAAGUCUGACCGAGCAACGCCGCGUGAGUGAAGAAGGUUUUCGGAUCGUAAAGCUCUGUUGUAAGAGAAGAACGAGUGUGAGAGUGGAAAGUUCACACUGUGACGGUAUCUUACCAGAAAGGGACGGCUAACUACGUGCCAGCAGCCGCGGUAAUACGUAGGUCCCGAGCGUUAUCCGGAUUUAUUGGGCGUAAAGCGAGCGCAGGCGGUUAGAUAAGUCUGAAGUUAAAGGCUGUGGCUUAACCAUAGUACGCUUUGGAAACUGUUUAACUUGAGUGCAAGAGGGGAGAGUGGAAUUCCAUGUGUAGCGGUGAAAUGCGUAGAUAUAUGGAGGAACACCGGUGGCGAAAGCGGCUCUCUGGCUUGUAACUGACGCUGAGGCUCGAAAGCGUGGGGAGCAAACAGGAUUAGAUACCCUGGUAGUCCACGCCGUAAACGAUGAGUGCCAGGUGUUAGACCCUUUCCGGGGUUUAGUGCCGUAGCUAACGCAUUAAGCACUCCGCCUGGGGAGUACGACCGCAAGGUUG